GACGGAGGAUGCAAGUGUUAUCCGGAAUCACUGGGCGUAAAGCGUCUGUAGGUGGUUUAAAAAGUCCACUGUUAAAAAUUGAAGCUUAACUUCAAAGAUGCCGUGGAAACUUUUAAACUUGAGUAUGGUAGGGGUAGAGGGAAUUUCCAGUGGAGCGGUGAAAUGCGUAGAUAUUGGAAAGACCACCAAUGGCGAAGGCACUCUACUGGGCCAUCACUGACACUGAGAGACGAAAGCUAGGGGAGCAAAUGGG
rnacentral:rRNA from 1 species